rnacentral:misc_RNA from 1 species
GAUGAAGAACGCAGUGAAAUGCGAUAAGUAGUGUGAAUUGCAGAAUUCAGUGAAUCAUCGAAUCUUUGAACGCACAGUGCGCCCCUUGGUAUUCCAUGGGGCAUGCCUGUUCGAGCGUCAUUUGUACCCUCAAGCUUUGCUUGGUGUUGGGCGUCUUGUCGUAUUACGACUCGCCUUAAAUACAUUGGCAGCCGGCACUUUGGCCUAGGAGCGCAGCACAUUUUGCGAUCGUAGCCCGUUGUACUGGCGUCCAUCAAGAACAUUUACCACGUUUGACCUCGGAUCAGGUAGGGAUACCCGCUGAACUUAAGCAUAUCAAUAAGCGGAGGA